rnacentral:rRNA from 1 species
GAUGAACGCUGGCGGCGUGCCUAAUACAUGCAAGCCGAGCGAACAGACGAGGAGCUUGCUCCUCUGACGUUAGCGGCGGACGGGUGAGUAACACGUGGAUAACCUACCUAUAAGACUGGGAUAACUUCGGGAAACCGGAGCUAAUACCGGAUAAUAUAUUGAACCGCAUGGUUCAAUAGUGAAAGACGGUUUUGCUGUCACUUAUAGAUGGAUCCGCGCCGCAUUAGCUAGUUGGUAAGGUAACGGCUUACCAAGGCAACGAUGCGUAGCCGACCUGAGAGGGUGAUCGGCCACACUGGAACUGAGACACGGUCCAGACUCCUACGGGAGGCAGCAGUAGGGAAUCUUUCGCAAUGGGCGAAAGCCUGACGGAGCAACGCCGCGUGAGUGAUGAAGGUCUUCGGAUCGUAAAACUCUGUUAUUAGGGAAGAACAAAUGUGUAAGUAACUAUGCACGUCUUGACGGUACCUAAUCAGAAAGCCACGGCUAACUACGUG